GAUGAACGCUGGCGGCGUGCCUAAUACAUGCAAGUCGAGCGAACGGACGCGAAGCUUGCUUCUCUGAUGUUAGCGGAGGGCGGGUGAGUCACACGUGGAUAACCUACCUAUAAGACUGGGAUCACUUCGGGAAACCGGAGCUUAUACCGGAUAAUCUUUUGCACCGCAUUGUUCAAAAGUGAAAGACGGUGUUGCGGUAACUUAUAGAUGGAUCCGCGCUGCAUUAGCUAGUUGGUAAGGUAACGGCUUACCAAGGCAACGAUGCAUAGCCGACCUGAGAGGGUGAUCGGCCACACUGGAACUGAGACACGGUCCAGACUCCUACGGGAGGCAGCAGUAGGGAAUCUUCCGCAAUGGGCGAAAGCCUGACGGAGCAACGCCGCGUGAGUGAUGAAGGUCUUCGGAUCGUAAAACUCUGUUAUUAGGGAAGAACAUAUGUGUAAGUAACUGUGCACAUCUUGACGGUACCUAAUCAGAAAGCCACGGCUAACUACGUG
rnacentral:rRNA from 1 species